CUUGUCUGAGGGCACGGGAGGAUCUUAUUAGUCAGUGUGUCAGCUGGGCCCUGACAAGCAGCCCGAGGAGGCUCUGAACCGAGCCUGGAGCUCCACGACUGCCGCUUGCACCUCCUGCGCCUGGUUUUGCGAGGGGUUUCCCGCCUCGCACCCCUACCUCUGGACUUGCCUCUCCUCGCUCCACGUGUGCAGGGAGCCAGCACUUAGGCCAGAGCGAGCCUGGGAGCCGCCAGCCGUGAAGGCAUCAUGGAGACCGAUUCGCAUGG
rnacentral:other from 12 species